GGCGAUCUGGCUGCAACAUCUGUCACCCCAUUGAUCGCCAGGGUUGAUCCGGCUGAUCUGGCUGGCUAGGCGGGUGUCCCCUUCUUCCCUCACUGCACCAUGUGCGUCCCCCCUGAAGCUACGUGCUCAGGUCAUAGACAAGGGCCUUCCCCAAACAGAGAUGGACCAGUCUUUGGUCGAGGGUAUACAAGUAGCUGCGCUCCCCUGCUAGAAUCUCCAAACAAGCUCUCAAGUUCCUCUGCUUUUCUAAAGGAAGGAACCAAAAACCACAACCAGCAUGUAGCAGGCAAUAAUUAAGCU
ensembl:misc_RNA 7SK 7SK RNA